AGGCAUGUUAGAACACAUACUGGCGAGAAACCGUAUUCCUGUGAAAUUUGUCCGAAAUCAUUUUUCCACCUUAGAAGCUUAAGUUUACAUCUGAGAUCUCAUAUUGACGAGCAACUGUAUUCAUGUGAACAUAGUUCAAAGACAGUUUCCCCAUCUUGAGUACUUAAAAUCGCACCUGAGAACCCAUACUGGUGAGAAACCAUAUUCCUGUGGAAUUUGUUCAAACCCCCACCUUGAAAGCUUAAAAUUACAUCUCAGAACCCAUUCUGGCGAAAAGAUUUGUGUGAAGUUUGUUCAGAGGAAUUUUCUGAACUUGCACACCCGAAGGAGCACUUAAGAACCAAACAAACAAAUAAAUAGUGUGUCCGUUAACAAAAUAAAGUGUUUGACAUACUGAUGUGUUUUCCAGACGAAGUGAGUUACGAUGAAAAAACGUUAAAACUCCUCCUUUCAUACAAUUCUGGCACGAGCCAAUGCUGAGACCACAAGGACUUCGCAUCCAGCUUUAAACCGGUAUUAGAAUUGCA